UGGGGAAUAUUGCACAAUGGGCGCAAGCCUGAUGCAGCAACGCCGCGUGAACGAUGAAGGUCUUCGGAUCGUAAAGUUCUGUUGCAGGGGAAGAUAAUGACGGUACCCUGUGAGGAAGCCCCGGCUAACUACGUGCCAGCAGCCGCGGUAAUACGUAGGGGGCUAGCGUUAUCCGGAUUUACUGGGCGUAAAGGGUGCGUAGGUGGUCCUUCAAGUCGGUGGUUAAAGGCUACGGCUCAACCGUCGUAAGCCGCCGAAACUGGAGGACUUGAGUGCAGGAGAGGAAAGUGGAAUUCCCAGUGUAGCGGUGAAAUGCGUAGAUAUUGGGAGGAACACCAGUAGCGAAGGCGGCUUUCUGCACUGCAACUGACACUGAGGCACGAAAGCGUGGGUAGCAAACAGG
rnacentral:rRNA from 1 species